AACCGCCUAGCUAAGGCGUCCCUCACCAUGCUUGUUUCGUGGACUGUCUGGAACGAGCGAAACACAAGGGUCUUCAAGCACAAGAGCGCUCCUCCAACUAUUUUGCUUGCCUCCAUACAGACCGAGGCCAACCUUUGGGUCAUCGCCGGUGCCAAAAAAUUAGGGUCUAUUAUUUCGCGAGAGUGA
rnacentral:rRNA from 1 species